rnacentral:rRNA from 1 species
GCUACGGCCAUACCAGCCUGGGUACGCCCGAUCUCGUCUGAUCUCGGAAGCUAAGCAGGGUCGGGCCUGGUUAGUACUUGGAUGCGAGACCGCCUGGGAAUACCAGGUGCUGUAAGCA